rnacentral:rRNA from 1 species
UACGGAGGGAGCUAGCGUUAUUCGGAAUUACUGGGCGUAAAGCGCACGUAGGCGGAUAUUUAAGUCAGGGGUGAAAUCCCAGAGCUCAACUCUGGAACUGCCUUUGAUACUGGGUAUCUUGAGUAUGGAAGAGGUAAGUGGAAUUGCGAGUGUAGAGGUGAAAUUCGUAGAUAUUCGCAGGAACACCAGUGGCGAAGGCGGCUUACUGGUCCAUAACUGAACGCUGAGGUGC